rnacentral:lncRNA from 1 species
UGAUUUGAAGAAGGCGGGUCUGUUAAAACUCUAGCUAGGAGAGUCCUAAUUGAGUUUUAUUGAAAGGGGCAUUUAUGUAAAAUCUACCUAGUCGACCUAUAUUAAAGAGGUGAAGAAGCCGGUUAGGGUUAGGAUGUUGUUUCUUAGAGAAGCAUUAGGAGUUAUAAAGGAAUAAGAGUCUUGAGUAUGAGUCCUAUUAGG